rnacentral:rRNA from 1 species
GACGAACGCUGGCGGCGUGCUUAACACAUGCAAGUCGAACGGAAAGGCCCUGCUUUUGUGGGGUGCUCGAGUGGCGAACGGGUGAGUAACACGUGAGUAACCUGCCCUUGACUUUGGGAUAACUUCAGGAAACUGGGGCUAAUACCGGAUAGGAGCUCCUGCUGCAUGGUGGGGGUUGGAAAGUUUCGGCGGUUGGGGAUGGACUCGCGGCUUAUCAGUUUGUUGGUGGGGUAGUGGCUUACCAAGGCUUUGACGGGUAGCCGGCCUGAGAGGGUGACCGGCCACCUUGGGACUGAGAUACGGCCCAGACUCCUACGGGAGGCAGCAGUGGGGAAUAUUGCACAAUGGGCGGAAGCCUGAUGCAGCAACGCCGCGUGCGGGAUGACGGCCUUCGGGUUGUAAACCGCUUUCGCCUGUGACGAAGCGUGAGUGACGGUAAUGGGUAAAGAAGCACCGGCUAACUACGUGCCAGCAGCCGCGGUGAUACGUAGGGUGCGAGCGUUGUCCGGAUUUAUUGGGCGUAAAGGGCUCGUAGGUGGUUGAUCGCGUCGGAAGUGUAAUCUUGGGGCUUAACCCUGAGCGUGCUUUCGAUACGGGUUGACUUGAGGAAGGUAGGGGAGAAUGGAAUUCCUGGUGGAGCGGUGGAAUGCGCAGAUAUCAGGAGGAACACCAGUGGCGAAGGCGGUUCUCUGGGCCUUUCCUGGCGCUGAGGAGCGAAAGCGUGGGGAGCGAACAGGCUUAGAUACCCUGGUAGUCCACGCUGUAAACGGUGGGUACUAGGUGUGGGGUCCAUUCCACGGGUUCCGUGCCGUAGCUAACGCUUUAAGUACCCCGCCUGGGGAGUACGGCCGCAAGGCUAAAACUCAAAGGAAUUGACGGGGCCCCGCACAAGCGGCGGAGCAUGCGGAUUAAUUCGAUGCAACGCGUAGAACCUUACCUGGGUUUGACAUGGAUCGGGAGUGCUCAGAGAUGGGUGUGCCUCUUUUGGGGUCGGUUCACAGGUGGUGCAUGGCUGUCGUCAGCUCGUGUCGUGAGAUGUUGGGUUAAGUCCCGCAACGAGCGCAACCCUUGUUCACUGUUGCCAGCACGUUAUGGUGGGGACUCAGUGGAGACCGCCGGGGUCAACUCGGAGGAAGGUGGGGAUGACGUCAAGUCAUCAUGCCCCUUAUGUCCAGGGCUUCACGCAUGCUACAAUGGCUGGUACAGAGAGUGGCGAGCCUGUGAGGGUGAGCGAAUCUCGGAAAGCCGGUCUCAGUUCGGAUUGGGGUCUGCAACUCGACCUCAUGAAGUCGGAGUCGCUAGUAAUCGCAGAUCAGCAACGCUGCGGUGAAUACGUUCCCGGG